AGGAGUUGAGAGUUCCGGGCCGGCAGAGGAAGGCGCCUGAAAGGCCCCUGGCCAAUGAGAUUAGCGCCCACGUCCAGCCUGGACCCUGCGGAGAGGCCUCUGGGGUCUCUGGGCCGUGCCUCGGGGAGAAAGAGCCAGAAGCUCCCGUCCUGCUGACCGCGAGCCUUCCUCAGCACCGUCCCGUUUGCCCAGCGCCUCCUCCAACAGGAGGCCCUCAGGAGCCCUCCCUGGAGUGGAGACAAAAAGGCGGGGACUGGGCCGAGAAGGGUCCGGCCUUUCCGAAGCCCGCCACCACUGCGUAUCUCCACACAGAGCCUGAAAGUGGUAAGGUGGUCCAGGAAGGCUUCCUCCGAGAGCCAGGCCCCCCAGGUCUGAGCCACCAGCUCAUGUCCGGCAUGCCUGGGGCUCCCCUCCUGCCUGAGGGCCCCAGAGAGGCCACACGCCAACCUUCGGGGACAGGACCUGAGGACACAGAGGGCGGCCGCCACGCCCCUGAGCUGCUCAAGCACCAGCUUCUAGGAGACCUACACCAGGAGGGGCCGCCGCUGAAGGGGGCAGGGGGCAAAGAGAGGCCGGGGAGCAAGGAGGAGGUGGAUGAAGACCGCGACGUCGAUGAGUCCUCCCUCCAAGACUCCCCUCCCUCCAAGGCCUCCCCAGCCCAAGAUGGGCGGCCUCCCCAGACAGCCGCCAGAGAAGCCACCAGCAUCCCAGGCUUCCCAGCGGAGGGUGCCAUCCCCCUCCCUGUGGAUUUCCUCUCCAAAGUUUCCACCGAGAUCCCAGCCUCAGAGCCCGACGGGCCCAGUGCAGGGCGGGCCAAAGGGCAGGAUGCCCACCUGGAGUUCACGUUUCACGUGGAAAUCACACCCAACGUGCAGAAGGAGCAGGCGCACUCGGAGGAGCAUUUGGGAAGGGCUGCAUUUCCAGGGGCCCCUGGAGAGGGGCCAGAGGCCCGGGGCCCCUCUUUGGGAGAGGACACAAAAGAGGCUGACCUUCCGGAGCCCUCUGAAAAGCAGCCUGCUGCUGCUCCGCGGGGGAAGCCCGUCAGCCGGGUCCCUCAACUCAAAG
rnacentral:sRNA from 1 species